CGGCCGGUGAGCACGGCCACCUGGGUGGGGGCAGCGGAGCGCCGAUGACAUAGAUGGGCUAGGAGGGGAACGCCAGUGUUCGGCGCGGUUUGGGCGGCUACGCGGGAUUGGCCGGAGCGGCGGCUCUCGCGCUCGGCUCGCCGACCGCCAUUUCACAUCCAGCAGAGGAGGCGGGGGCAAUGGCGAAGAGGGCUUUUCACAAGGUGAUCAUGCUUUUGGAUUUUCAUAGUUUGAAUAAUUCCUACGGGCUCUGCCACCCAGCAAGUUAAAGAGGACAAGAUUUUUUCCCUGGGGAUUGUGGUUCGGGGAACGUGAGCAGCUUGUUUUCAUGAGAUCUGCACCUUGAUCGGGCCUCCCACUAGGAGCACUUGGGAUGGAGUUGACUUUGUUAUACUUGUUUCUUCCAUCUUACACAACAUUUUGUAAUGUGUUUCUUAUAUAGUGAUUUCUGAAAAGUGAAUGCUUAUGGGAAAGUUUUGCUUAUACAAAGAAGUAUUAAAACUAUCUUAAAGUAA